AGAGUUUGAUCCUGGCUCAGGACGAACGCUGGCGGCGUGCCUAACACAUGCAAGUCGAGCGGAGGUAUUGAAGGGAAACCUAAGAUACCUUAGCGGCGGACGGGUGAGUAACGCGUGAGGAACCUGCCUUAUACAGGGGGAUAACACAUCGAAAGAUGUGCUAAUACCGCAUAAAGUCAUCAGGACGCAUGUCGUGAUGACCAAAGGAGCAAUCCGGUAUAAGAUGGCCUCGCGUCUGAUUAGCUAGUUGGCAGGGUAACGGCCUACCAAGGCGACGAUCAGUAGCCGACCUGAGAGGGUGACCGGCCACAUUGGGACUGAGACACGGCCCAGACUCCUACGGGAGGCAGCAGUGGGGAAUAUUGCGCAAUGGGGGAAACCCUGACGCAGCAACGCCGCGUGGAGGAAGAAGGUCUUCGGAUCGUAAACUCUUGUCUUUAGGGACGAAAGAUGACGGUACCUAAGGAGGAAGCCACGGCUAACUACGUGCCAGCAGCCGCGGUAAUACGUAGGUGGCGAGCGUUGUCCGGAAUUACUGGGUGUAAAGGGCGUGUAGGCGGGUAAGCAAGUCAGAUGUGAAAUACCGGGGCUCAACCCCGGGGCUGCAUUUGAAACUGCAUAUCUUGAGUGCAGGAGAGGGAAGCGGAAUUCCUAGUGUAGCGGUGAAAUGCGUAGAUAUUAGGAGGAACACCAGUGGCGAAGGCGGCUUCCUGGACUGUAACUGACGCUGAGGCGCGAAAGCGUGGGGAGCGAACAGGAUUAGAUACCCUGUAGUCCACGCCGUAAACGAUGGAUACUAGGUGUAGGAGGUAUCGACCCCUUCUGUGCCGGAGUUACACAAUAAGUAUCCCACCUGGGGAGUACGGCCGCAAGGUUGAAACUCAAAUGAAUUGACGG
rnacentral:rRNA from 1 species